rnacentral:rRNA from 1 species
GACUACGAGCCUUGCUUAAAACCUAAAGGAUUUGACGGUGUCCCACCCACCUAGAGGAGCCUGUCCCAUAAUCGAUAAUCCCCGCUCCACCCUACCACUUCUUACCUAGUCUGUAUACCUCCGUCGCAAGCUCACCAUGUGAAUGUUAGUGGGCCAACUAGUAGCUACCCUCAUACGUCAGGUCAAGGUGCAGCUUAUGAAGUGGCGUGAGAUGGGCUACAGUUUCUGUUCAAAGCACACAGAAAAACGUAAAUGAAACUCAACUAUGAAGGAGGAUUUAGAAGUAAAAGGAAAAUAGAGUGUUCUUUUUAAUUAGGCACUGGGACGUGU